UACCAGGGACACUGAGCAGUGGU
rnacentral:piRNA from 1 species